rnacentral:rRNA from 1 species
GAUGAACGCUAGCUACAGGCUUAACACAUGCAAGUCGAGGGGCAGCGGGAUUGAAGCUUGCUUCAAUUGCCGGCGACCGGCGCACGGGUGAGUAACGCGUAUCCAACCUUCCGCUUACUCGGGGAUAGCCUUUCGAAAGAAAGAUUAAUACCCGAUGGUAUCUUAAGCACGCAUGAGAUUAAGAUUAAAGAUUUAUCGGUAAGCGAUGGGGAUGCGUUCCAUUAGGCAGUUGGCGGGGUAACGGCCCACCAAACCUACGAUGGAUAGGGGUUCUGAGAGGAAGGUCCCCCACAUUGGAACUGAGACACGGUCCAAACUCCUACGGGAGGCAGCAGUGAGGAAUAUUGGUCAAUGGGCGAGAGCCUGAACCAGCCAAGUAGCGUGAAGGAUGACGGCCCUACGGGUUGUAAACUUCUUUUGUGCGGGAAUAAAGGAGCCUACGUGUAGGCUUUUGCAUGUACCGUAACGAAUAAGCAUCGGCUAACUCCGUGCCAGCAGCCGCGGUAAUACGGAGGAUGCGAGCGUUAUCCGGAUUUAUUGGGUUUAAAGGGAGCGUAGACGGGUUUUUAAGUCAGCUGUGAAAGUUUGGGGCUUAACCUUAAAAUUGCAGUUGAAACUGGAGACCUUGAGUACGGUUGAGGCAGGCGGAAUUCGUGGUGUAGCGGUGAAAUGCUUAGAUAUCACGAAGAACCCCGAUUGCGAAGGCAGCCUGCUAAGCCGCCACUGACGUUGAGGCUCGAAAGUGCGGGUAUCAAACAGG